rnacentral:rRNA from 1 species
CCUAACACAUGCAAGUCGAACGGUAACAGGAAGCAGCUUGCUGCUUCGCUGACGAGUGGCGGACGGGUGAGUAAUGUCUGGGAAGCUGCCUGAUGGAGGGGGAUAACUACUGGAAACGGUAGCUAAUACCGCAUAAUGUCGCAAGACCAAAGAGGGGGACCUUCGGGCCUCUUGCCAUCGGAUGUGCCCAGAUGGGAUUAGCUUGUUGGUGGGGUAACGGCUCACCAAGGCGACGAUCCCUAGCUGGUCUGAGAGGAUGACCAGCCACACUGGAACUGAGACACGGUCCAGACUCCUACGGGAGGCAGCAGUGGGGAAUAUUGCACAAUGGGCGCAAGCCUGAUGCAGCCAUGCCGCGUGUAUGAAGAA